UACGUAGGCAGCGAGCGUUGUUCGGAAUUACUGGGCGUAAAGGGUGCGUAGGCGGUUGUUUAAGUCUGUCGUGAAAUCCCCGGGCUCAACCUGGGAAUGGCGAUGGAUACUGGGCAGCUAGAGUGUGUCAGAGGAUGGUGGAAUUCCCGGUGUAGCGGUGAAAUGCGUAGAGAUCGGGAGGAACAUCAGUGGCGAAGGCGGCCAUCUGGGACAACACUGACGCUGAAGCACGAAAGCGUGGGGAGCAAACAGG
rnacentral:rRNA from 1 species